AUUGAACGCUGGCGGCAUGCCUUACACAUGCAAGUCGAACGGCAGCACGGGUGCUUGCACCUGGUGGCGAGUGGCGAACGGGUGAGUAAUACAUCGGAACGUACCUUAUCGUGGGGGAUAACGCAGCGAAAGCUGUGCUAAUACCGCAUACGCCCUGAGGGGGAAAGCGGGGGAUCGCAAGACCCCCCGCGAGUAGAGCGGCCGAUGCCUGAUUAGCUUGUUGGUGGGGUAAAAGCCCACCAAGGCGACGAUCAGUAGCUGGUCUGAGAGGACGAUCAGCCACACUGGGACUGAGACACGGCCCAGACUCCUACGGGAGGCAGCAGUGGGGAAUUUUGGACAAUGGGGGCAACCCUGAUCCAGCAAUGCCGCGUGAGUGAAGAAGGCCUUCGGGUUGUAAAGCUCUUUUGUCAGGGAAGAAACACCGGCUCUAACACAGUCCGGGAAUGACGGUACCUGAAGAAUAAGCACCGGCUAACUACGUGCCAGCAGCCGCAGUAA
rnacentral:rRNA from 1 species